UGGUUGUGGGGGGCUUAUAAUGCAAGUCGACGGUAACAAGUCUUCUUGAUGCUGACGAGUGGCGGAUGGGUGACAAACGAAUAUGCAACCUACCUCACACCGAGAACAAGUCGACUGAAAAGUUGAAUAAAGUCUCGUGAUGUGUACGAACCGCAUGGUUUGUAUAUGAUAGAAGCAAUUUGGUGUGAGAUGGGCUUGCGUAUCAUUAGCUAGUUGGCGGGGUAAUAGCCCACCAAGGCGACGAUGAUUCGGGGGCCUGAGAGGGUGGUCCCCCACACUGGGACUGAGACACGGCCCAAACUCCUACGGGAGGCAGCAGUAGGGAAUAUUGGUCAAUGGGCGGAAGCCUGAACCAACCAUGCCGCGUGAUGGAUGACGGCCUUAGGGUUGUAAACAUCUUUUCUACUAUAGGAAUAUAGGCCACGUGUGGUCAGACGACUGUAUAGUAGGAAUAAGGAUCGGCUAACUCCGUGCCAGCAGCCGCGGCAAUACGGAGGAUUCGAGCGUUAUCCGGAUUUACUGGGUUUAAAGGGUGCGCAGGCGGGCUCUUAAGUCAGCGGUGAAAUGUCCGGGCUUACCCUGGGCCUUGCCGUUGAUACUGGGAGUCUUGGAUAAGCAUAAGGACGGCGGAAUGCGUAUUGUAACGGUGAAAUGCUUUAAAUAUUACGUAGAAGACCGAUUGCGAAGGCUGCUGUCUGGGUCUUUAUCGACGCUCAAGCACGAAAGCGUGGGUAGCGAACAGGAUUAGAUACCCUGG
rnacentral:rRNA from 1 species